rnacentral:lncRNA from 1 species
AGUACCAGCUGUCACUCAGAGUGUCAUUGAAUGCCUCUGCUCCAGAACAGUCACCAAGAGGACUCUGGGAUCACGGAUUGGAUUUGUGCCUCAGGUGGCCCUCCGUCUCCCAUCCCUAAUGCAAAACAGCCCUCCCCCGACAGGACUCAGUGUAGCUGGGACUCUAGCCAGGUGAGCCAGGCCCUGCUCAGAUCAAGCAGAUCUCAGGAAGCCUAUGACUUCAGAGAGAGGGAUGUGGUAAGUCAGGAAGAUCACGCCCUCCCCAGCCCCCCAACAGACCCUUCUUCCCACGCCUCCUCCUCAAGCUACUCACCCCCACCGUGGACCAUGGCUCCCAGGAUGGAAGGAAACCACGAGGUCUCACUGUUGCUGGCCUGAAAGUCGCGCUGCAGAUCAGUGAAGAAGACACCGAUGCAGGAGGAUCAGACCGUGGGCGGGUAAAAUGCUGGUGUCUCCCAAAGUGGACAUGGACCUGUCUCCAAACUUCCAUUAUGAGCUGCCCAUGUACCAGCACCAACUUUCCUACCACCGGGAGAUCAACCUGAGCUCACCACCAGCGAGCAAGCUGGCACAGGAGGCACAGAUGCCAGCUCAGCAAGGACAGCCGAGCUGCAGGCUUGCAGAGAGAAGCCUUUGAAACCACCUUACCACACUCCCUUUACAAGGUGUGGAAGAUCAAGAGUGGGGCUCCACAGCUGUGCUGAAUCUUGUUGCCUGCAAGGGGCUUUUUCUGAGUAUACACACACACACACACACACUUACACAGGUACAGAGACAGGCAUGGAUACAUGUACAGUCCCACAGUCACUCCAGGACACACACACACACACACUAUUUACCCCCCAACCCCCACCCCAAUCACACAAAAUAUAUGCAGAUACAGUCAGGCCUAUCUCAGUUCGAUACCAUCACCCAGGCCCCAUACCUAGCCUCAUGCAGAACCCCCAGCAGUUUUAAGCCCGCCCCCUCUCUCCCCUCCCCCGCCCUGCCCAGUGACAUUCCUUUUCUGACUCCCCUGUUCCCAGGUAUCCUCAGUCCCUUCAAACUCUGGGUGGUGGGCAGUCUGUGAGUGGAAAGAGACUUUGUCUUGGUUUAAAGCAAUAGACUGUAUCAGCUGCUGUUCCCACAAGGCCCCCUCUCUACCUUUUUGUUUUUGGAAUCUGGGAACUUCAGAUGCCCUUAGAAAUAGGAAACUCUCUCUCUCUGUUCCUCUGUUCCCUUUGCUCUCUAUUCACUCCAUUUCCCCCCCUCUCUUUCUCUCUCUCUCUCUCUCUCUCUCUCUCUCUCUCUCUCUCUCUCUCUUUCUUUCUUUCUUUCUUUCUUUCUUUCUUUCAGAUUUACUUAUAUGUAAGCACACUGUAGCUGUCUUCAGACAUCCCAGAAGGGGGCAUCAGAUCUCAUUAGGGAUGGUCGCCCGCCCGGGUAUAGGAUUCUUGUUCACUCCCGCUCGUCUUCCCCUCAGCCUCCUGUAGCACUGGGGCACCAGCUGGCCCCAGAAUUUUAAAACGGAGAAGUGGACCAGGCCCUGUUCUGAGCUCUGCGUUCUGCAUAACACCCAACUUUGGAGUACAGAUGCUCAGGUGGGGUCUGGAGAUGAGAUACAGUUCAGGGGGGCAGCAUGUGCCAUGCAAUGUGAGGCUCUGGGCACAGUCACCAGCACCCCAUACGAUUUUUAAAACACGCUGAGCUGGGAUGAUUCAGCACCCUGGUCAGAGCUUGCGGCUGUGUGUGCCCUUGGUUUUGGUCUCUUAUUAAAAUUUAUUUUCAUUUUAAAUGUAUGGGCUGUUUUGCUUAUGGGUGUGUCUGCACACCACGUAUGCCUCCUGCCCAUGAAGACUGGAAGAUUGUGUCAGAACCCUUGGAACUAGAGUUCCAGCAGGUUGUAUGGCAUCAUAUGAAGUCUGGAAAUUGAACCUGGCUUCUCUAAAAGAGCAGCUAGUGCUCAUAACUGCUAAGACAUAACUCCAGGCCUCUUUCUUUUCUUUUCUUUCUUUUUUUCUUCCUUUUUUUUUUCCUUUUGAGACAGAACCUGCUAUGUAUCCCUCAUUGGUCUGGAACUUGCUUUGAAGACCAAG